CGCGGCCUAUCAGCUUGUUGGUGAGGUAAUGGCUCACCAAGGCUUCGACGGGUAGCCGGCCUGAGAGGGCGACCGGCCACACUGGGACUGAGAUACGGCCCAGACUCCUACGGGAGGCAGCGGUGGGGAAUAUUGCACAAUGGGCGCAAGCCUGAUGCAGCAACGCCGCGUGCGGGAUGACGGCCUUCGGGUUGUAAACCGCUUUCAGUAGGGACGAAGCUAACGUGACGGUACCUACAGAAGAAGGACCGGCUAACUACGUGCCAGCAGCCGCGGUGAUACGUAGGGUCCGAGCGUUGUCCGGAAUUAUUGGGCGUAAAGGGCUUGUAGGCGGUCCGUCGCGUCAGGAGUGAAAACUCGGGGCUUAACCCCGAGCCUGCUUUUGAUACGGGCGGACUAGAGGGAUGCAGGGGAGAACGGAAUUCCUGGUGGAGCGGUGGAAUGCGCAGAUAUCAGGAGGAACACCGGUGGCGAAGGCGGUUCUCUGGGCAUCACCUGACGCUGAGAAGCGAAAGCGUGGGGAGCAAACAGGCUCAGAUACCCUGGUAGUCCACGCCGUAAACGGUGGGCACUAGGUGUGGGGGACAUUCCACGUUCUCCGUGCCGAAGCUAACGCAUUAAGUGCCCCGCCUGGGGAGUACGG
rnacentral:rRNA from 1 species